GACGAACCGUACGAACGUUAUUCGGAAUCACUGGGCUUAAAGGGUGCGUAGGCUGCGCAGCAAGUUGGGUGUGAAAUCCCUCGGCUUAACCGAGGAACUGCGCCCAAAACUGCUGUGCUCGAGGGAGAUAGAGGUGAGCGGAACUUAGGGUGGAGCGGUGAAAUGCGUUGAUAUCCUAAGGAACACCGGUGGCGAAAGCGGCUCACUGGAUCUCUUCUGACGCUGAGGCACGAAAGCGUGGGGAGCAAACAGG
rnacentral:rRNA from 1 species